UGUCUGUCUGUCUGUCUGUCUGUCUGUCUGUCUGUAUGUUCCUUAUAGAAACAAAAACUACUGGACGGAUUUUAAUGAAACUUGGUACAAUUAUUCUUCAUACUCCUGGGCAGGUUAUAGUAUACUUUUCAUCACGCUACAAUCAAUAGGAGCAGAGUAGUGAAGGGAAAUUUUGGGAAAACGGGAGAAGUUACUCCAUUUUUUAAGCUUCCGUCGCGUGAGCAGCCUUAAUGGUUAAAGUUACAUAGAAAUCAUGUAUGACGGAAAUAUCUAAAUAUAUAAAAGGAGAAACUGACUGACUGAAUGACUGACAUAUCAACGCACAGCCUAAACGGCUAAACGUAGACACUUGAAAUUAGGAAGGGACGUAGCUUAGGUACCGUAGAGGUGCCCUAAGAAAGGAAUUCUCGAAAUUCCCACGGGAACAGGAAUUAGCGGGAAAACCCUUUUGUAUAAAAAUUCUAAACCGCUUAAGUUAGACGCUUGAAAUUUGGCAUGUAGGUACCUUAGUUAACUUAAAGCUUAGUUGCAACAGGAUAUUGCAAAAUUCCCACGGAAACGGGAGUU